UUCUUCCUUCUUCUUCUCUUUCUUCUGUUUCUUUCCUUCCCCUGUUCUUCUUCUUCUGCGAGUGAUUAAGAGUUCAAUAGAGAGCUUUGUGAUCGGUAGGAGGUGUAGAAGAUCAUGGAGUGUUUGAUAGAGAUGGUGUUGUUGUAUGUUAUUGAUUCAGACUCGAAGGAGAAAGUAAAUUAGAAGAUGUAGUUUCUGAAGUUAGGAUUGGUGUGGAGUUAUUGAUGAUAUGGUGUUGUUAAAGGAUAAAGAAAACUGGAUUGUUGUUUAAUUGGAGUUGUAGUGAUGUUUUUAGUUUUAAUUUGAGAUUGAAGAUAAUUAGGGUUUCAUGAGAAUUGCAGAAGAGGAUGAGAAGAUGAAAUUGAAGGUCUAAAGAAGUGAUUUGAGAUGGGUUUACGUUUAAUUGAGUUAUGGAGUUACUUUGAAUGAAGGAAUGAAGAAUUAGGGUUCUUGGGUUUGGAAUUUAGUUGAGGAAGAUGAGUUUAGAUGAUGAAAUUGAUGUUUUUAGAAGAUUGAUUUGAGAUGGCUUUUAACAGUUUGAGUGAAUUAGGGUUUGGAUGAAGAGUAAUUAGAAAUUGAAGAAGUCGGGGUUUUGAAGCUGAGAUCUAUUGAAGCUCAUGGAUGAAGUCGUUAACAGAGUAAGGGUUUGAUUGUGUUAGUGAGAAGGUGAUGAAGCUUUUGUUGGGGUGAAACUGAAUUAAGGUAAUCAUCUUCUCAUUUGAAUUAUCAUGUGUUGUUGAGGUUUAGGUUGUGCUGAACUUUAAGAAUGAUAUGUAUUAGAAUUUUGCAGGGGUUGAGCUUUAUGAAUUUAAAUGGAUAUGUUGGGUAUGUGCUUGAGCUGUAUAUUAGUUUGGUUUGUGCUAAAUCACAUGGAGAAGUAAAAUGGAAGCAAUAGUGAAGUGUUUGUGUAGAUGGUAGUAUUGAACUGGAGCUGAAUUCAAGAGUUGGUGGAUAUUGAAAUGGUUUUGCAGAUGAUUGUGUUUGUUAAGAAAGAGAAGUGGAGAUGAUGUUGAACUAGUUGAAUGAUUGUUAAGUUGCAGGGAAGAGUUGCACCAGUAAUGGUAUGGGUUUGAUCAGAUUAUGGAUGAGAAUGAAGGUUCUGGGAUAGAAAUAUUGUUGUGGCUAAUGGAGCUGGUGGAGAAGGGUUUGAUUUAUGUCAGUAGAGUAAUGGGUUUACUUGUUAUUGUGAAAGUUUGGUGGUGAUGCUGUCAAGAUAUGGGAGAUGGAUUAUGAGUUUUGUACUUGAUCUAAACUGAAGUUGUUGAUUGAUGCAGUGAGUGUUUGAAGAUAUUGCAGAUGGACAAUGUUGUCUAAGUUGAAGCUUAGAUGUAAGAAUUACUGGAUUUGUGAAUUGUUAUAGGCAUAGUGACUUGGGAGAAAAAGAGUAGUUGUAUCGUUAUUUAGCAGUGGCCUUUAUGGAAGCCUGCAACUGCAAAUCAAGGAUGAACCAGUGGAUCGUGGAUCUCGAGGUAGGCGUGGCUUGUCAUGAAAAUAGUUUCAGAGACGGAUCAGAGUUGCGCAGCGGAAGCUUCGAAGAGUUGAUUUCAUUAGUUGGAUAACUUCUAUUAUGUUUAAUAUAUUGCAUAUUGUAUCCGUAAACCUAAUGACUAUUGUAUAUGUAUCAUUUGAGAGGACUUCUUGUAUAUAUAUGUUUCAGAGCGGGUUAGUUUUGGGUUAAGUUUUGUAGCACAUUUCUUAGUUGAAUGAUUAAGUAUAUGAUUUAGA